rnacentral:lncRNA from 1 species
UAAGAAAAUAAAACAAUAUGUGUUCUUACAUAAUUAUUUAAAACUAUUCCUUCAUGUAGAGAAUAACUCAUGUGAUAAGGAAUAUACCUAAGCAAAUGACUAAAACAACAUGAAGCUGUAUCCUGAAAACCAGGCUUGAAACACCUCUCAAAAUUAGCAAUUUUUUAUAAGGCUGGACUGCGCAGAGGAAAUUCAUUAGCUCCAUUUAAAUGCACACCCCAGAGCCCACCUUCAGUUACCAGCAGAGCACAACACAUUUCACAUUGGAUAAACCGCUCUGACUCUAGAGAAUGAUUUUUUUUUUUAACUUAAAUCAACCUUCAUGGAACAGUUUGUAUUCUUAUGAUUUUUUCAUUAUAAGUGAAGAACUACUCUAUAGACAAGGACUGGUUCUAACUGGGGGCAGGCAGCUUGCACAGCAUGAACUAUAAGAUGCUGUAAUGACUGGCACGCCACGCUCCAGUAGACAUGUUUCAGUGGAAGACAAUUUCUCUAAGCCCAGAUCCCAAAAUCUACUUAGCAAGAAGCGUUGGCUGCAGAGACAACUUACGAGUGUCAUCCAGCUGGGAAUCUCUCGACCUGCAGAAACCAGCCACUAAAGCAACUAUUCCAUAUUGGACUCCUGUUAACCACCUGCAACUAGGACAACUCUUCCAGGACUCAUCCUGUUAA